rnacentral:rRNA from 1 species
CUUUUUGUAUUAUAUAUAUAAAGUCUAACCUGCCCACUGAAGUUUUUAAAUGGCCGCAGUAUAUUAACUGUGCAAAGGUAGCAUAAUCAUUAGUCUUUUAAUUGAAGGCUUGUAUGAAUGGUUGGACGAGAUAUUAACUGUUUCAUUUUAAUUUAUAGUAGAAUUUUAUUUUUUAGUUAAAAAGCUAAAAUUUAUUUAAAAGACGAGAAGACCCUAUAAAUCUUUAUAUUUUAUUUAUUUUAAUUAAUUAGAUUAAUUUUAUUAUUAUAAUUUAAAAUAUUUUAUUGGGGUGAUAUUAAAAUUUAAAAAACUUUUAAUUAUAUAAAUACAUUAAUUUAUGAAUAAUUGAUCCAUUAAUAAUGAUUAAAAAUUUAAGUUACUUUAGGGAUAACAGCGUAAUUUUUUUGGAGAGUUCAUAUCGAUAAAAAAGAUUGCGACCUCGAUGUUGGAUUAAGAUAUAAUUUUAGGUGCAGUAGUUUAAAGUUUAAGUCUGUUCGACUUUUAAAUUC